rnacentral:lncRNA from 1 species
CACGACAUACCACACGGCCACUAAAGCCAUUCCAUAUAAAAUCAUAUAUGGACAACUACCUUCUCUAUCUUCGAAGAGAUUCUAAGAUUGAAUUAGUUGACCGAAACUUGAGGAAAAGAGAGAAAAUGCUAAAGCUAAUCAAAUUUCAUCUUGGAAGAGCACAAGAAAGAAUGAAAUAGUUAGUUGAUAAGCAUAGAACUAACAGGAAAUACCAAGUGGGUGAUUAGGUUUACGUGAAAUUGCAUCCCUAUCGGCAGGUCUCUGUCGUUCAUUGGAGAUAUGCCAUGUUGAUUACAAAAUACUUUGGGCCUUACAAGAUCAAUGAUCGCAUUGGAGAAGUAACCUACAAGUUCGAUCUUCUUGUCUACUCUAAGAUCCACAACAUUUUCCACAUUUGGCAGCUUAAGAAACAUGUGGGAGCUACCACCGUUUCUACACAGUUACCAUAUCCAACUGAAGCAGCA